GCCAGUACUAGCGACUGAAGAAAAUUGCCAGUACGUCCCUACCAAUACGGAACAUCAAAUAGUAAAGGAAAAACGACGCGACCGUUCUCGUUCCGGCGCUACUAGCUAUUGUUGAGGACGAGAGGAAACUAAAGUAUAUACUUAUAAAGCCAAAGGUGGAAGAGGAUAAAGUUUGUCCUGCUUUGAUCAUGUGACCAGACCCAAAAGACUAUUCUUUAUGCCCUAUAGAGUCAACAUACCUGAAGGACUGCCUACUCCCUUAUGAACCUAUCCAGCACUGCAGUCAUCUUCUGAGACUUUGCUUCAAGUAUGUUAGGUGGGGGCAGCAACCCAGAAGAAGGUCUUCUCAGUCUUGGCCCCAAAAGCCUGGAACUUUCUCCCAAGGAAGACUUCUGUUGCCAUAUUCCCCUAACAGGAUAAGACUUUUUGUUUCAUUUGGCAUUUCAUCAGCGAUCUCUGCUCCUGCCCAGUGUUUUAAUUGUUGUUCUUAUAUCUCUGUGUAUAUAUUUUAGCUCUGGUUUUAAUUGUUUUAAUAAUUCAUUUUGUUAGUUUUAAUGGUUCUAUGUGGUUUUAUUAUGUAUACUUCUAAUCUGUCGAUGACCUUGGUAGUCUUUAUGGGGGCAGACAGGUGGGGUAUUAUGAAUUAUAUAAAAUAAAUAAAAUAAAAUGUAGGAAUAAA